GGGUCAGUAGGUUGGUCGUGCCACCGGUACGUACUGGUCUCGCUGAUUCCUCCUUCCUGAAGAACCGUAAUGCCAUUAAUUUGGUGUUGCGGGGAAACAGGACUGUUACUUUGAAAAAAUUGGAGUGUUUAAAGCAAGCUAACGCUUGAAUACAUUAGCAUGGAAUAAUGAAAUAGGACGAUCGAUCCUAUUUUGUUGGUUUCUAGGAUUGACGUA
rnacentral:rRNA from 1 species